rnacentral:rRNA from 1 species
GCCGCUCUAACACGUACCCUGCGACCUUUAAUCACAAUUACUGGGCGUAAAGCGUGCGCAGGCGGUCUUGUAAGACAGAGGUGAAAUCCCUGGGCUCAACCUAGGAAUGGCCUUUGUAACUGCAACCUAGAGAGCGGCAGAGGGGGAUGGAAUACCGCGUGUAGCACUGAAGGCUAGACAAGGGGAGGAAAAUCGAUGGCGAAGGCAGUCCCCUGGGCCUGCACUGACGCUCAUGCACGAAAGCGUGGGGGAGCAAACAGGAUUACAUACCCUGGUAGUCCACACCCUAAACUAUGUCAACUGGUUGUUGGGCCUUAAGUGGCUCAGUAACGAAACUAACACGUGAAGUCCGCCCGCCUGGGGAGUACGGCCCCAAGGUUGAGACUCAAAGGAAUUUGACGGGGACCCCGCACAAGCGGUGGAUGAUGUGUUUAAUUCAUCCAACGCCGAAAAACCUACCUACGCUUGACAUGCCAGGAAUCCUGCAAAAUGUGGAGCCUCCAGAAAAGCCUGGACACAGUGCUGCAUGGUGUCGCGCUCGGACGUGAUAUGAUGGGAUAGUCGCGCAAAGAGCUAACCC